UACGGGGGGAGCAAGCGUUGUUCGGAUUUACUGGGCGUAAAGGGCGCGUAGGCGGUAGCACAAGUCAGUUGUGAAAUCUCCGGGCUUAACUCAGAAAGGUCAACUGAUACUGUGCGACUAGAGUGCAGAAGGGGCAACUGGAAUUCUCGGUGUAGCGGUGAAAUGCGUAGAUAUCGAGAGGAACACCUGCGGCGAAGGCGGGUUGCUGGGCUGACACUGACGCUGAGGCGCGAAAGCCAGGGGAGCGAACGGG
rnacentral:rRNA from 1 species